CGGACAUAUUCAAUCGCUCCCUAACCCAGUCUGGUGUCCCCACAUGCUUCAAGAUGGCUAUCAUUGUUCCUGUACCCAAGAAGGCAAAGAUACCUGAACUAAAUGACUACUGCCCCGUAGCACUCCCUUCUGUCAUCAUGAAGUGCUUUGAGAGGCUAGUCAAGGAUCAUAUCACCGCUACCUUACCUGCCACUCUAGACCCACUUCAGUUUGCAUACCGCAACAGGUCCACAGAUGACGCAAUCACCAUCACACUGCACACUGCCCUACCCCAUCUGGACAAAAAGAAUGCCUUGACUACAGCUCAGCAUUCAACAUCAUAGUACCAUCAUAGUACCCUCCAAGCUCCUCAUCAAGCUGGAAGCCCUCAACCCCUCCCUGUGCAAUUGGGUCCUGGACUUUGUGACGGGCCGCCCCCAGGUGGUGAAGGUAGGAAACAACACCUCCACUUCGCUGACCCUCAACACUGGGGCCCCAUAAGGGUGUGUGCUCAGCCCUCUCCUGUACUCCAUGUUCACCCACGACUGCGUGUCCAUGCACGCCUCCAUCUCAAUCAUCAAGUUUACAGACAACACAGCAGUAGUGGACUUCAGGAGGUGAGCGCACUCGGAGUGUGGUGUCAGGAAAAAAACCUCACUCAACGUCAACAAAACAAAGCAGAUGAUUGUGGACAUCAGGAAACAGCAGAGGGUGCAGCCCCCUAUCCACACCGAAGGGACAGCAGUGGAGUCGGUGGAAAGUUUUAUGUUCCUUGGCGUACACAUCACAGACAUUCUUAAAUGGUCCAUCCGCACAGACAGUGGUGAAGAAGGCAAACAGCGCCUCUUCAACCUCAGGAGGCUGAAGAAAUUUGUCUUGUCACCCAAAACCUUGACACACUUUUACAUAUGCACAAUCGAGAGCAUCCUGUCGGGCUGUAUCACAGCCUGGUACGGCAACUGCACCGCCCUCAACCGAAUUUCUCCAAAAGAGCAUUUUUAUGGAAUGGUCUGCCUAUCCAUGUGAGCGAUGCAGACUCGAUAUUUACUGAAGACUUAUCUCUUCAGUAUGUCCUAUGGUUGAGUGUAGUCUGGACCAGGGGUGCGAAGGUGAAGAGCAAAGAACUGGAAUGAUGAACCGUCCUUGUUGUUUCUGCCUGGCCGGGCACCCCUCUAUCCACUGGGAUUCCCUGCCUCUGACCCUGUUACGGGGGCUGUGUCACUGGCUUACUGGCGCUCAUCCAUGCCGUCAUAAGGAUGGGUCCAUCACACCAUGCCAGGCUUUUUUUGCGCAAUACUCAACUUCAGUGGGUUGAUCACUGAGGUGAUCCUCCUCUCUGGUCUUGCGCCCCCUCUGGCUUUUGCGGUGAAGGAGAUCUUCAUGGGCUAAACUCAGCCUUGUCUCAGGGUAGUAAGUUGGUAGUCUGUUGAUAUCCCUCUAGUGGUAUGGGGGAUGUGCUUUGACAAAGUGGGUCUGGUAAUAUCCUGCCUGGUUGGCUCUAUCUAGGGGUAUCUAUGCUGCAAUAGUGUAUGUGCCGAGGGGCUAGGGGCAGUCUGUUACAAUUAUAUUGUUUCCUGUGUGAAUUUAAGUAUUCUCUCUCUCACACUCUCACUCUCUCUCUUUCCCUCUCUUCUCUAUCGCACCUGCGGUCUCGACCUCUGAAUGCUUGGCUAUGAAAAGCCAACUGACAUUUACUCCUGAGGUGCUGACACGUUGCACGCUCUACAACCACUGUGAUUAUUAUUUGACCCUGCUGUUCACCUAUGAACAUUUGAACAUCUUGAAGAAAAAUCUGGCCUUAAUGGCCAUGUACUCUUAUCUCCACCUGGCACAGCCAGAAGAGGACUGGCCAAUCCUCAGAACCUGCUUCCUAUGUAGGUUUCUUCCUAGGUUCCUGUCUUUCUAGGGAGGUUUUCCUAUCCACAGGCUUCUACAUCUGCAUUGGUUGCUGUUUGGGGUUUUAAACUGGAUUUCUGUGAAAGCACUUUGACAUCUGCUGAUGUAAAAAGGGCUUUAUAUAUACAAUUGAUUGACUGUGCUUCAUGAUACUGUUUCCAUACCUUUUGACAUUUCCUCGUGAAGGACAACUAUCUUGAUGGGAUGCUCCCCUGUCUGUUUGUCUGGCAUUUGCCUGACUAUCCCCCCCUCUUGUUUUCUGAGCAGGUUCCACUCCUGCAGUAAGGUUUUGAUGAGCUGGGGUGCUGCUUGCAAUGCUGGGUUGUCCAAAGGCUAGCCCUGGUCUAACAGUGCUCAGACAUUUUGAAGGGUCUCGUCGGUCUGUUGCCAAACACUCCAGGGCCAUGUGUUUGGGGGGGCCCCUCAAACGAACUGGGUCUGGGGCAUCUCUUUGCCUCCUUUCUCUGGAAGCCUAGAGAGGACAUUGGUGUUGAUGUUGUGCGCUUCUGGAUGGUACUAGAUUUUGAACUGGUACUUUGCCAACUGUGUGGCCCAGAGCUGCUCGACUACCCCGAGGUUGGCUGUACACUGAUGGACAAACGGGUUAUUGUCAGUGUAAACAGUGAAAUUCGAUCCCCACAGGUAAGGUUUAAACUUAAACUCUGUUACCUCCCAUUUCAGUCUCAGCAGUUCCAGCUUGUAGUAGCUGUAGUUUUGGUAAUAUCGCUUGGUCGGGAUCAAGCUCAGGGCGCAAUAGGUGAUGACCCUUUCCAGGCCCUCCUGCACUUGAGACAACACAGCCCAUAGCCCUCGGAAGCUUGCAUCUCUGUAGAGCCAGAGGUGGAGAGAUAUAUAAAUCAAUAUCAUAAAUAUAUAAUUUUAACCUCCCAAAAUGAACUUUACGGUCGCUGAGAAGGUCCACUUUUAUAUGCUUUUUCCCCUGAUAGACCCAACUGUUACAAAUUUAGAGCAACAUUUUUUAAGACUGUUCCAAAUAGAGCAAAAAUAUCUGGUGGAAACAGCUAUGUUAUUGUAUUGUAAUGUCUAUUGCCCUCAGCUAUGUUCAGACUGUUGUUGUCCAUGUUUGCUGUGUUUUAGGGUGCUGUGAAAAAGGUUGGAACUUCAUUUCUAGGGGGUUCUGAUGCUUCUAGCUUGGAGUUGCAUUUUUGAUAACAUAUCUACAGUAUUUCACUUUUUAUUGUGUAUAGUAUUGCUUACUAGGUGUUGUCCAAUGAAUGCUGUAACCACUCUCUCUUCAAAUCAGGGCUGAUUGGAAAAAGCUGCUUAAAACAGGACAUUUCUUUGUACACCCUGACGAAGGCUGUGAAGCCGAAAAGCGGCAGAGUUUUUAAACUUUGUUUCCAUUGAAAAUGCCAAUACUAAAGGCAUUUUAAUUAAUUAUAUGAAGAUGCCUUGGUUCUCCUUUCUUUUUGAAGUCGUCCAAAGUCGUAAAUCAAUGAAUUAUUUUAUUUUUUAUGGCCAAAUGUCAGAUCAAUGUCCUUCGGCCUCUGAAUAUCACAGGGAAAACAUGCAUAUAUCCUUGUGUUCAGCAUGGAUCUUUACUGCACAGAAUACAACUUGUUACUAGCACAAAGUUCAAGGUCAAAUUGACUUCAGAUCACUGUUCCUCAGUGUCUGAGCAUCAUAGGGACAUCAUGAUAUCAAUGUGAUCAGCAUGGUUGCACCAUUCUUGUGCAUGAAGCAGCUUGUUUCAAGGACAAAAGCGUUCAAUAAUUACAUAGACCAAGGUCAAGGUCAACUUGCUGGGUCAAACUGACCCAGAACAUCACGGAUGUCACUAAUUUAGCCCUUCCCUUAUGUUCCAGUUCGAUCCCUUCAAAUUGACCCGGAACACAGAGGAAGGGCUAAAGACCACUGUAUUGGGACACUGGUUUUUCAUGAGGUGGAACCCUGGUCCUCCAAAUGAUUAUUGAGAGCUUUGACCUUUCUAGGGUCUGGUGUGAACCCCUGGGUGCCCACCACAUGCCCAAGGGCUACCUGGCCAACUUCCUCCACGGAGAGUGCCCAUUGCCACUGAGUGAGACUGAACGGCACCAACCAUGGUCCUGCAGACCAUUUUUUUGCUGGAGCCUCAGGACUGUUAGGGUUAACUUGAAGAGUGUGGGUGGUAGGUGGAGAAAAUUGAAGGAAAGUUUGAUUUGACAUGUUUUGUGCAUAUUGUUUUCAUCACCCAUAAUAAAACCUUUUUGUUAAUAUAAGACAUAUAGUCUCUUCUCAGUUUGAUACAGACACAGAAAGUUCAGAUAGAAAUUGACUUUAUAGAACAGAUAUAAUUCUCUAUCAUAGAGAAUGAGUCAAGUUACCCCUCUCAUUUACAGAUUGUGAAUUAUACUGCCAUCCUCUGGCCACUUUACAUACUGAAAGCAAUCCCUGCCCACUGGGCACAGACGUCGAUUCAAUGUCUACUCCAUGUUGGUUAAAAAAUAAACAACGUUGAUUCAACCAGUGUGUGUCCAAUGGGUGUAACACUCUGCAGUAAAACUGUUGUUAAACUUUGCUCUUUCCUCCAGCAUUUUGGAUAUGAAAUCUAAUGUUUCAUAUGAGGUGACAUUAUUUAAUGUCACCUUUUAUUUGAGGGUAUUUUGAUACAUAUCUGUUUUACCGUUUAGAAGUGAAAACACCUUAUGUAUCUAGUCCCCACAUUUGAAGAAGUAUUUCGACAACUUCAAUUAUUUUGUAUUAAAGGUCGUAACCCUUUAAAAGUAGUGUUCAUGUAAUUGAUGUAUGUAGAUAUUGGUUUCCUUACCCUGUAAACGGUCUAUGAACUGCUCCCAUGAGUGACUGGAAUCCACACUUUGGUUUUGAUUGUCACUGCCAACAAACACGAAUGCUAGCAUUUUCAGACAAAACACACUACUACACACUACCACAACAAUGUGACUGUUUUUGAAUUUAAAAAAUCUAUAUAUUUCCUUUAACAUCCUCUGUGUUGUGUGCUUAUUGUUUAUCCAUUGAUAAGUUCUAGGUCAUUUUGAAACCUUAAGGAGCAUCAGGUACUGCUGGGAUGUCUACCAAUAGUAUGUCCAUCUUUUUGUGAAAAAUUACACUGGUCACUGUUCAAAACAUUUAUA